rnacentral:rRNA from 1 species
CACGUAGGGGGGCAAGCGUUGUCCGGAUUUAUUGGGCGUAAAGAGCUCGUAGGCGGCUUAGUAAGUCGGGUGUGAAACCUCCAGGCUCAACCUGGAGACGCCACCCGAUACUGCUGUGGCUAGAGUCCGGUAGGGGAGCGUGGAAUUCCUGGUGUAGCGGUGAAAUGCGCAGAUAUCAGGAGGAACACCCGUGGCGAAGGCGGCUGCUCUGGGACGGUACUGACGCUGAGACGCGAAAGCGUGGGGAGCGAACAGG